rnacentral:rRNA from 1 species
UACGUAGGGACCAAGCGUUGUUCGGAUUUAUUGGGCGUAAAGCGCGUGUAGGCGGCAAGGUAGGACUGCUGUGAAAACUCGAGGCUCAACCUCGAGAUGUCGGCGGAAACCAUCUGGCUAGAGUCCGGAAGAGGAGAGUGGAAUUCCCGGUGUAGCGGUGAAAUGCGCAGAUAUCGGGAAGAACACCCGUGGCGAAGGCGGCUCUCUGGGACGGUACUGACGCUGAGACGCGAAAGCGUGGGGAGCGAACAGG